GACGAACGCUGGCGGCGUGCUUAACACAUGCAAGUCGAACGGAAAGGCCCUGCUUUUGUGGGGUGCUCGAGUGGCGAACGGGUGAGUAACACGUGAGUAACCUGCCCUUGACUUUGGGAUAACUUCAGGAAACUGGGGCUAAUACCGGAUAGGAGCUCCUGCUGCAUGGUGGGGGUUGGAACGUUUCGGCGGUUGGGGAUGGACUCGGGGCUUAUCAGCUUGUUGGUGGGGUAGUGGCUUACCAAGGCGUUGACGGGUAGCCGGCCUGAGAGGGUGACCGGCCACAUUGGGACUGAGAGACGGCCCAGACUCCUACGGGAGGCAGCAGUGGGGAAUAUUGCACAAUGGGCGGAAGCCUGAUGCAGCAACGCCGCGUGCGGGAUGACGGCCUUCGGGGUGUAAACCGCUUUCGCCUGUGACGAAGCGUGAGUGACGGUAAUGGGUAAAGAAGCACCGGCUAACUACGUG
rnacentral:rRNA from 1 species